GCCCGGUGGGCUACAGUCCAUGGCGUCGUAAAGAGUCAGAGGAUCCCUGCCUCAUCCGCCUUGGCCAGCCCACUUGUACUCAUCCUCUGUGACUCAGCACACACCCCAGGUCUUCCGGGACAGCUUCCCAGAAGGAGUGAGGGAGUUCUGCCUUUGUGCCCUCAAGACAGGAGCACCCCAGUCUUGAGCUUUGAAUGUUGCCUGGAAGGAGAGGUUAUGUGAUUUGGAAAUUUACCCGUUUGACUCCAAAAACUAUAAACCCCUGAAUGGGAUGCUGUGUUUUUUUUCACUGUGACUCCAAAGCCUUCAACAGUGUUUGGCACUUA